GGCCGCUUCUGCCUAAAACGGAAUACCGUUGGUAAAGAUUUACUUGAACACAAAGGGCAAGCUCUAAAGCUCUAUGGCCUUUGUCAGGAAUGCGUCCUCUCUGUAAAAGAAAGGAGUUAAAACAGGGUGAUCAGAAGAGUAAUAGGUCUGUAAGAGACACACUGAACAAUCUAAUAAUUCCCUCGCUGCCAUGCACACAGUACAGUGUGAUGAGUGAUUUUGCUACGUCUACGCUAAUGAAGAAUUGAGAGUUGCUGAAUUCCCAAGUGCUCUGCAUUCCUCUGAUGCUCCUGGACAGCCAAGGUGCUGACAAGCUUUGGCCAGUAGGCUGCUUUCUGGCAUCCAAGGUCACCUCAUUAUGGCUCUGUGUGAAGACAGCACCCCAAAGGGGCCAUUGAUUUGGAACAUCUGAUCGGCUUUCUGAGUCAGAACCACUAGCUCGUAAAAUCCAAUAAAUGUCAAAGAUAUGUCAGGCCCAUUAACCUCUGGAGGUCUAUUAAAAGACUCUGCUUCUGCUUAGGAGAUUCUGUUACUGUCACAUGGACACCAGGACAGCCAAUUCUAAACCCCUGAAUUUAGAAAGUUAGGAAGGAGAUACGAUUUCACAUGGGAUCGCCUGGUCUCUACUGGUUUUGUCAUAAGACUCUGCCCUUUCUUCCACUCAGACAUACAGAGUAUCUGUUGGCGUGACCAGCUCUGUGACAAGUAUGCUGGGGAAACAUUCUAGAACGUCUUUUCCUGCCUCCAAGAAAAUGAACCCAAACCCUCUUCAUAAUACUGCAUGUACAUUUCUUCUGUACAGUCUCAUACAGCACUGAAGCGUUAUUGUUUGCUUGCACCUGAGUCCUCUCUAUUAGACUUUGACUUCCUUCAGAACUGAGUGUCAUGAUUUCCUGGUACGAAUCAAGAGAAACCCUAAUAUAAAUUAUUACAGGAAAAAAUAAACCUGCUUAACACAUAAAAUCAAAAAGUCUAAAGGUAAAGUUGGACUCAGGGACCCCAAAGGUGUUAUCAGGAGUCUCACCUCCAUCUUGUGGCUCUGCAUUCCUCUGCGUUGGUUUCAUCUGCAGGCAAGCCCUCCCCAGCCAUGGCAAGAUGGGAACUGUAGAUCCACAUGAUGGCAAGCCUACCUUCAGCAGCUCCAGGCAUCCUGCUGCCAGCCUAACACCCCUGUGAGAAAGCGUUUUUAUUUUCCAAUAGGGCCAGUGGAUCUCCCAGGCUAAUUCUUGCUGGCCCAGCAUGGAUCCAGUUGCCAGUUCCAGGGCAUUCUUUUUGCAAAACAGUUACCAUAUUGUGUUGUAAUUCCUGCUUUACUUGCUAGUUUUCCAUUCAGAACUGUAAGUUGAAUGAUGGUUAAAACCAAUUCCAUCUUCCUAGAGCCUAGUGUAAGACCUGGCACCCAAUAGGUGCAAAAGGCAGCCACUCCCAAGGCCCUGCCGAGGGCUGCCAGGGCUGUAGGUUGACACAAGGCUACCAGAUCCUUCAAUAUUGCAAAAGCACCAAGUAUUCUAAGUCCCCAGUUUUGGGAAGAAGGCAGGUGGGGAAGACACUUGCAUGCCAAAUCUGACCUGUGUGGGGGAGGAAUUAAUGAAACUAACACUGUCAAAGGUCUCCUGUGCAUUAUGCACUGUGGAAGUCCAUUUGUACAACAUCAUGUUUCCAAAGUGGUUGCAAAAACAUCCCCAGCCUCACAUGUUCUUUUGUGAGGAGACUCCUCUGCCAUGGCUAUAUCAGGAGGUAGAGUCCAUUAUGUCCUCUUCUGGAAUCCUUAAGGAUUCCAAGGAUUGUGAGUGCUCAUACAGCACUCACACCUGUUACAAGCAAUAGACUAUGAUAGAGGUGACACUGGGUAACUUCUAAAGGUGAGCCUUUGGAGAGAUGCAGCUUCCAUCUUUGCCUCUUGGAAUACCCCUCAGUGCCAUGUCAUGAGGAAGCACAAGCAGCCAUGUGGAGAGGCAAGGAGGAGAAGUCAGGCUCCUAAGUGACAGCUCCAGCUGAGCUCCCAACUGGCAACCAGAGCCAACCGCCAGCCAAGUGAUCAAGGACAUUUGGACUUUCCAGCUUUUCCAAGGCCCCCAUUGGCACCAUGUGAUACAAACCCAGGCAACUGACAAAACCACAAAACAUCAUAAUUAUUAACUAUAAUAAUAAUUUUAAAAAUAUCAUUUUCUU